rnacentral:misc_RNA from 1 species
GAUGAAGAACGUAGCGAAAUGCGAUAAGUAAUGUGAAUUGCAGAGUUUUGUGAAUCAUCGAAUCUUUGAACGCACAUUGCGCCCGCCAGCACUCUGGCGGGCAUGCCUGUUCGAGCGUCAUUUCAACCAUCAAGCCCCAGGCUUGCGUUGGAGCCCUGCGGCUGCCGCAGCCUCCUAAAAGCAGUGGCGGGCUCGCUAUCACACCGAGUGCAGUAGAUUACUCUUCGCUCAGGGCGUGCAGCGGGUUCCGGCCGUGAAACCCCCUACUUUUAAAGGUUGACCUCGGAUCAGGUAGGAAUACCCGCUGAACUUAAGCAUAUCAAUAAGCGGAGGA